rnacentral:tRNA from 1 species
GGGCCUGUAGUAUAGCUUGGUUUAGUAUUCCAGCUUCGGGAGUUGGCGACCCAGGUUCAAAUCCUGGCGGGCCCA